GGAGGGGUGGCAGAGCGGACGAAUGCGACGGUCUUGAAAACCGUUGAGGGGCAACUCUCCGGGGGUUCGAAUCCCCCCCCCUCCG
rnacentral:tRNA from 1 species